GUAAGUGGCUCAUCAUGGCUGAUUUCAGGUUAUCAACAGCUUAACAACCAGCUCAAAACAUGCUUUGCUGUUUAACAAUCAACUCUCAGGGAAUCAGUGAACUGGUGAGCACAAAGCUACUGUUAACGAAUCCAUGGUUCAUAUGCAAAAGUUACCAACUGCUCUAAUAAUGUCCUUAAUAGUCAUGUUUUUUUCCAAGUUCAUGAUUCGGUCUGUAUCAUCAUUUGUCACCUCUCUUUAGUAUCCUUUAACCUGGAGUGGUUCCAGCCUGUUUUUGUCUACUGGGGCAUUGCUGUUCUUGAAAGAGUACAGGUCAGGUGUUUUGUAGAAUGCCUUUCAAUUAGGGUUUACCCAGUGUCUUCUCUGGAUUAGAUUUACAUUAUGCGUUUUUGGCAGGAAUACCACAUACAUGAUGUUUACUUGGUUCAUUGGAUAAGAAGCCCGUGAUGUCGGUUUGUCCUAUUAUUGGUGAUACCAAUUUUGGCCACUUGGUUAAGUGGCAUGUGUGAGGUUUUUUCAUUGUAAAACUGUUAUUUCCUUUUUGUAAUUAAUAUGAGACACUUUGAGACUACGCGGAUAUCCUCUCCCUCAUCAAACUUUUCUCCACCAACUUUAGCAUCUGGUUGCCACCCUCCAAAAUGGCCCCAGUGAUCCCAUCUCCUAAUAAGUACAUGUCUGUGUGGUCCUCUCCCACACUGCAUAGGAAUGGCUUACGUAACCAAUAGGUAGUUGAGGAUGUGAUGCAGUCUGACUUUUGAGGCUAAGUUGUAAAGAAAGACACUGUGUCUUCCUCCUUGUUGUCUUGGAGCGCUUGCUCUGGAGAAGCCAGAGGUCAUGUCGUGAGGAUACUCAAGUUGCCAUUUGGAGAGGUGCACAUGGUGAAGAAAUGAGGCCUACUGCCAAUGACCAUAAAUGAAGAGAGAAAGAAACACGAGCAAAUAAACAGAACUGAUAAUGCAUUAAAAGAAAAGAUGAAAAAAUAUGAGGCUAUAAAAGAGACGUGUGGUACAGGAUAACGGUCACCCAAAGAUGUCCCCAUCCUAAUCUCCAGAACCUGUGCCUGUGUCACCUGACAUGGCAAAGUGACAGCAAAUGUGACUACCUUAUGGAUCUCAAGAGAGAAGCCUGAUCCUGGAUCAUCUGGCUGAGUCCAGCCUAAUUGCAUGGGUCCUUAACAGUGGAGAGUCGACUGCAGUGGUAUGAAGGAAAUGCAGCUAUGGAAGAAACGGUCUGAGAAAUGGUACAUUGCUGGCUUUGUGGAUGGAGGAAAGUGGUCAUGAGCCAAGGGAUGUGUACUACCUCUAGAAGCUGGAAAAGGGAAGAAAACAGAUUUGCCCUAAAGCCUCCAGAAUGAAAUCCAGACCUACUGACACCCUGGUUUUAGCUCAGUGAGACCCAUGGUGGGCUUCUGAAGGCAAAAUUGUAAGAUAAUAAAUGUGUUAAGACACUAAAUUUAUGGUGAUAUGCUACACAGUGGUAGAAAAUUAGUACAAGAUGAAAAAGAUUUAAAAGGAAAUGACAGAUAUACAUAUAUAGGAAACAGGCAAGGAAGACCCUGUACACAUGGGUACACGUGCAUGCGCACACACACACAGAUAUAUUAGUUCCUAAAGAAAUAAAAUCAGCCAGGCGCGGUGGCUCACGCCUGUAAUCCCAGCACUUUGGGAGGCUGAGACAGGUGGAUCACCUGAGGUCAGGAGUUCAAGACCAGCCUCAACAUGGAGAAACCCUGUCUCUACUAAAAACACAAAAUUAGCUGGGCGUGGUGGUGCAGGCCUGUAAUCCCAGCUACUCAGGAGGCUGAGGCAGGAGACUUGCUUGAACCUGGGAGGCGGAGGUUGCAGUGAGCCGAGAUCGUGCCAUUGCACUCCAUCCUGGGCAACAAGAGUGAAACUCCGUCUCAAAAAAAAAAAAAAAAAAAAGAAAAUCAAAAGGAAUAGAUCCAAACAAACAAGAUGUAUAAUUCAGGAAAGGUUUCCUGAAAUAAGCAUAUACUUGAAACGACAUAUUGAAAGAUUAUCUAAACACCUUGGAAAAUGGAGUCCAAAUAUCCAAUACCAAGACAUUCUAGUAAAAUUAUUGGAAGAGAAAGGAAAGAAGGAAGAAGGGGAAAGAAGGAAGAAGGGGAAAGAGGGAAGAAAUAAAAUUUCUUGGGGUUCCUUUCCCCACCAAAAGAAGAUGCACUGACAUUUUGAAAGAAAAUUAGUUUGACAUCAGAUUUUUCAACAGCAAUGCCUUAUGUCAGAACAAAAUGGAGUUACAUAUUCAGGCCAAGUGUGGUGGCGCACACCUGUAAUCCCAGCACUUUGGGAGGCUGAGGCGGGUGAAUCGCUUGAGCCCAGGAGUUCAAGAGCAUCCAGGGCAAUGUGGCAAAACCCCGUCUCUUCAAAAAAUUAGCCAGGCAUGGUGGCAUGCACCUGUAGUUCCAGCUAUUGAGGAGGCUGAGCUGAAAGGAUCGUUUGAGCCCAGGAGGUUGAGGCUGCAGGGAGCUAUGAUCUGCACUCCAGCCUGAGUAACAAAGUGAGACUCUGUCUCAAAAAAAAUAAAAAAAAUAAAAUAAAAUGAAAAAAGAUACUCGAGGAAAGUAAAGAUAAGCCAAAAUAAUUUUCAAGUAUAAAAGCAGCAAAGUGUUACCAAAAUGCAAAGACUCAGGAAAUACAGUUACCAUAAGCUAUUCCUAAGGAAUCUACUAGUGAACAAGUUUCAAACAGUCACAAUGACUGCAGAGACAUUGACGUAAAGACAGAUGGCAAAUAUUAAGUGGGUGGGUAGGUAGAUACAGCUGUAGAUAUGGCCAGCUGUUUGCUGGAGGCAAUUUGGACAAGCUUAUGAGAGCCAAUGAACUUUUCAAGAAUUUUAUGAGUUGGUUAUUAAACAUAGACAUUAUGAACAGUUAAAGUAUAUACAUGUACGUACAUUUAAAUAAAUUAAAAACAGUAAACACUAAAAACACAUCGCUUCAUAAUUAUGUUACUACAUUUUACAAUUAUCUAUGCUUUUGAGGUUAUUUACAUUGAUUGUAUCAAAUGGUGGAGAUAGGGUCAGCUUCUGCACAUCUUUUCCCGAACUCCACAUUUAAUGAUGUCACCUUGAUAGCUCACCAAUGGUGAAAGUAUUUACUCCAUGGAAAGCUGCAAAAUGCUAUGAAUCAGGGCUUUUUCCCCCUUUUUCUGGAGAGUCUCUUGUUAAACAUUUCCUAGCACAUCAAUGGAUUCAAAAAAGAGAAGCUAGUAUGCAACAGAUCCAUGACUUGACAAUGUAGAUACACCACCACUCUGAAGACAUAUGAGGAGGGCACUGGGAGAGCGUAUGAAAAAUGUCUUUUUAGCCUUUCAGUAAUCAUUUUGGGUGAUAGUGAUGUCAUCGUUAUUCUGAGAAUGGAGUGUGUGCAAUGUCAAUUAAAGCAAAUAAAUAAUCAUAUGAUAUAUUUAAUUGUGUUAUCCUCUCUGUUUUGAAAACCAGGAUUUGGCCGUGGAUGGUGGCUCACACUUGUAGUCCCAGCACUUUGGGAGGCUGAGGCAGGUGGAUCACUUGAGGUCAGGAGUUUGAGAUCAGCUGGCCAACAUGGAGAAAACCCCGUGUCUACUAAAAAAUACAAAAAUUAGGCCGGGCACGGUGGCUCACGCCUGUAAUCCCAGCACUUUGGGAGGCCGAGG
rnacentral:lncRNA from 1 species